GCUAAUACCGCAUAAUGCCUACGGGCCAAAGAGGGGGAUCUUCGGACCUCUCGCGUCAAGAUAUGCCUAGGUGGGAUUAGCUAGUUGGUGAGGUAAUGGCUCACCAAGGCGACGAUCCCUAGCUGGUCUGAGAGGAUGAUCAGCCACACUGAAACUGAGACACGGUCCAGACUCCUACGGGAGGCAGCAGUGGGGAAUAUUGCACAAUGGGCGAAAGCCUGAUGCAGCCAUGCCGCGUGUAUGAAGAAGGCCUUCGGGUUGUAAAGUACUUUCAGUUGUGAGGAAGGGGGUAACGUUAAUAGCGUUAUCUCUUGACGUUAGCAACAGAAGAAGCACCGGCUAACUCCGUGCCAGCAGCCGCGGUAAUACGGAGGGUGCGAGCGUUAAUCGGAAUUACUGGGCGUAAAGCGCAUGCAGGUGGUUCAUUAAGUCAGAUGUGAAAGCCCGGGGCUCAACCUCGGAACUGCAUUUGAAACUGGUGAACUAGAGUGCUGUAGAGGGGGGUAGAAUUUCAGGUGUAGCGGUGAAAUGCGUAGAGAUCUGAAGGAAUACCAGUGGCGAAGGCGGCCCCCUGGA
rnacentral:rRNA from 1 species